CCUUCUCCUCACUGUCCGCAACCACUCUCUCCGCCAGAAGGCCGAACAACUCGACUCCCUCAUCUCUCACCUCCGCAGCUACCGUCUCCCCACAACCCCG
rnacentral:ribozyme from 1 species